GAGUUUGAUCGUGGCUCAGAACGAACGCUGGCGGCAUGCCUAACACAUGCAAGUCGAACGGGAUCCAGGCUUCGGCCUGGUGAGAGUGGCGGACGGGUGAGUAACGCGUGGGAACCUGCCCAAUGGUCUGGGAUAACCGCGGGAAACUGCGGCUAAUACCGGAUAAGCCCGAGAGGGGAAAGAUUUAUCGCCGAUGGAGGGGCCCGCGUCCGAUUAGGUAGUUGGUGAGGUAACGGCUCACCAAGCCGACGAUCGGUAGCUGGUCUGAGAGGAUGAUCAGCCACACUGGGACUGAGAUACGGCCCAGACUCCUACGGGAGGCAGCAGUGGGGAAUAUUGGACAAUGGGGCAACCCUGAUCCAGCAAUGCCGCGUGAGUGAUGAAGGCCUUAGGGUUGUAAAGCUCUUUGGCGGGACGAUGAUGACGGUACCCGCAGAAUAAGCCCCGGCUAACUUCGUGCCAG
rnacentral:rRNA from 1 species